AAAAGUUAUCUCUCUUCUCUUUUUACAGAUGACUCAAGACUUGCUCAUAGUCAAGUGUCCCAUUUCCUACCUCCCACUUAUCUUUAACCCUGCUACAACUCACCUCUACUACUUCUUCCAAGCUAUUUUUCUUAUCAAGGUCUUCCAUAGCUUACGUUACUAAACCGAAAAGAAUCUCUUUAGAGGUCAUCCUACUUGGACUUGCUAGCAUUCAGGUAGCACCAGUGACCUCUCCCUUCUCCUGAAAUUGCUUCCCUAUGACAUAUCAUGCUUAUUUUUCUCCUUUUUCCUUUUCAGUUUCCUCCUCGUCUUAGUAGUGUUCUUGGGAGCUUUGGCCUGAGCUCUGUCUUCCCACGCACUCUCUCUGGUCUUUCCCUCAAUAUCUCAUUUGCUUCUAUGGCUUCAAUUAUUACUUCUUUGAUAGUUACUCUAAAAUACUUCAAAUCAAAACAUUUUUCCUGGCCCAGACAUUCAGCUGGUUAGAAAACAACAUUGUUUGAAAAUCCUAGAGAAACCUAGAAUCUCUGUUCUUUCCCAACUCAAGAAAUCCUCUCUCAAUGAGCUGUACCUUACCUAAGUGAAGGAUCUUGGUCAAAGUAGAGAUCUAAGCUAUACCCUGGCUCUUUUCUCUCUCUCUCUCUUCUACACCUCCCCCCCCCAUGCAAUUGCCAAGUCUUCCUAUCAUCUACAGGACCAUCUCCAUCAUCUACUUAUACAGUCUCAUUUCCAUUGCCACUCGCUGGUGUAGGCUAGUACAGCUUCUAAUCUGCAAUACCUUCACAGCUCUCCUGUUUCAGUCUUGUUCUCUGGAAUCUAUUCUUAACUAUUUUUCAUUAUCAUGUAUCAAACCCAAAGCCUCAGGCAAGACAGGCAAGUGUUCACUGAGUCCUGGAAUCUAUUCUCUAUAUUGUAGGCAGUCUGUAUUAUUACUAUUUUUUGAGACAAGCUCUCACUGUGUAGCCUAGGCAGGCCUUGAAUUUAUAAUCCCUCUGUGGUUGCCUCCUGAGUGAUGAGACUAAGGGCAUAUACUACCACAUCUGGCAAGUCUAUGUCUUUCAAAAUCAAAUAUCAUUCACAAGUUUAGAAUCUUCCAAGUCCCCAAAGGUUCAAAAGAAAAUUUACCUUCCUUAACAUUAGAGGUUUGGCAGGGCUCUUUAUGAUCUGGUGAGAUCUCAAUCAGCCUUUCUAAACCUAAUGCUUGAGUCAAAGUUGAAAAAUUGUAAGACUGUUCCUUGGUCUAUCCAGCCUCUGAAGGCUUUUUUAACCUUAAUUUUUAAAAUUCUUUGACAAUUCCAUCCAUAUGACCUCUGGAGGUUUUGGGUUGUUGUUCUCUUUUGCUUCUUUGGGUUUUUUUUUAGCGGCAGGGCCUCAUUUGGAGUCUAGGCUGACCUUGGACUGCAGUGAGUCCUCUUGCUUCAGGCUCCGGUGUGCUGGGAUGAAGGCUGAGGUUUUGCACGUUUGCUGCCGUCGCAUAUGGAACUCUCUUCACUUCUCCCUCAUUCCUCUUCACUUGCCUAAGUUUCAGCUGACGCUGUGAAUGUCUCCGGAGCAUGGAGUCUAGGCUUCAGCAUCCAAGUGGAGAAGUCACACAGGUGUAGCCUCCCCCAGCCUUGAGUAGGCUGGCUUUGACCUUGCUGCCACUGAGAAUCAGACCACCUGGGAUGGAGCCUUCCCACUUAGAUGGCUCUAUUGUUCUGUCACGUGCUGCUGUUCUCCAAGACACUGCUACCUGCUGAGAGGCCCUGGAGAUAUUCCGGAGACAGCAACCCGCAGAUCACCUACUGGCAGGCAACAGGCAUCAACAAUGGAUUGGCGGGGGGAUGGGCCUCCCCCCUUUAUAAGCACAGACUCUUAGUAAACUUGGGGGCCUUGAACAUAAA